UACGUAGGGGGCAAGCGUUGUCCGGAAUCAUUGGGCGUAAAGCGCGUGUAGGCGGCUCGGUAAGUCCGCUCUGAAAGUCCAGGGCUCAACCCUGGGAUGCGGGUGGAUACUGCCGGGCUCGAGUCCGGAAGAGGCGAGUGGAAUUCCCGGUGUAGCGGUGAAAUGCGCAGAUAUCGGGAGGAACACCAAUGGCGAAGGCAGCUCGCUGGGACGUGACUGACGCUGAGGUGCGAAAGCGUGGGGAGCAAACAGG
rnacentral:rRNA from 1 species